AAAAAGGUAAGCUAAACUAAGCUUACAGGUUCAUACCCUGCAUAUGAAAGUCAACCCUUUCCCUUUUUA
rnacentral:tRNA from 1 species